UCCAGCCCGCCUCCAUGCCGCUGAGACGAUUUGAACCUGCACUAUGCACUGAAAAUGCGCAAUGGAUGCGCAACUCGGGCACAAGAACCCAAGACAUCCUGCUGCACUGACACGUCAAAGCUCAAGGAAAGCUUUCAGUCAAGGUGGCCUUGACUUAAUUCCAUCGAGGAAUUAAUUUGCAUUUCACUUGAAGAUUUGAUUUUUGUUUCAUGAUCUGGUCCAUUUCUCUUCCGGCUUCACCCACACGCCACCAGUCGGAUUAUCCAUGACGUACACCAGCCCCCCGGAGUCACGGCGGCUUUGGGACCAGGAGUGGGGUGUUGACUUUUCCAGAGAACGACUGGAAGAGUGAAGUUGACUGUUCACCUUUUUCUGAAUACGGACAACUGAAGCUGGAGUGGAACACGCGUCCGUCUUCAGACACAAGUCUUCUGCGCCGUCGCGGUGGAAAAUCACACGCGCUUCUACGGAGGGUUUGGAUCCUUGUUGUCCCAUGUUGUAACUUUGAAUGAAAUUAGCUGUUUAGAGAAGCCAAUGACGCCUGUCUGUUGCAACGCGGGUCUGGAUGAGUCCAUGACCGAGCUAUUCUGGUCUCUCCACCUGGUGCAGCCUGUCACACUAUUUGACAUCGUCGAGCGCUUCCGAGCUGUCCGCGCUCCCUCCUGACGGCUGCAGCGGGGUUCAGUUUCAACGUAGGCACGGGUAACUAUUUGUGGUUCAACAGAGGCAUCCCGCAAACAUUCAGUAGACGUCAUGUGUUUUCCCCUAACUUCACUCUCAUCUCACUCACCAACCCAUUUUAUGUCGCCAUUGAUUGAGUGAUUAACUCAAUCAGAUUCGAGAUUAUAAAAGCAGAAGAAAGGACAAUUACAUAUUGCUGUGCAUCUUCUUCUGUUGUACCCUUGAGCAAGUUACUGCAAACUAAACUGUUAGAACUUGUAGGGAUUUAACUGAUUUAGUGCACAGAUAAUAAAGGCCAUGUUAGGAACGUCAGGCCUGUAAGAUAAUAAAAACAGACACAUUUAAGAUGAAUUUGUUUAAUACUUGUAGUUUACAUACAGUUUAUUUACAUUGGUUUUUUUUUACACUGAGCAUCAGCUCAUCUUGUCUGAGUUAUGAACUCAUAUUCAGAUUAAAGCGUAUCGAAUGUGUUGUAAACUUCCGCUCAUGUAGAGAAGGAAAAAACCAAAACAAUAUACCGUUUGUCCUGGCAACACACAAGACUCUUCAAAAAUAAAGAAAACCAGUAAGGCAUUAGGUAGGCCGAACAUGUUAAAUAAAAAAAAGGCUUCUGUUAACUGAUUCAAAGAUCUUGAAACACAGUGGUGAAAAGUAGUUCAACAUAAAACAGUAGUAAAUCAAGUCAGGUUUACUGAGUUCUCUCUGACAGGUUGUUGCUGUCUGACACCAGCUGUAUUGCUUUACAAGCGUAUUGUAUAUCGAGUUACUAGCAUACAGACUGCUGCUGUACAGUUCAAGUUGGGUCCUCUUUUAUUUUCCCUUGGAGGUGUGGGUGUCUGCUUCAGCUCUGUGCUUCCAUUGUCAAAAGUCACCAGAGUCCUAUGAAAAGAUAGCUUACAAAAUGAACAUGGAUAAGCCCAAGCACAUGCCCUGAUAGUUGUCGUUUAUGAGUACUUUGAUUCGAGCAGUCUACAUAAGCUCAAUAAACUUGCAGAACAAAGAAAUGAACAUCAUGUUCAGCAUACAUGAAAACCCUCCUGUAUUACAGAGGAUGUAGAGUUUACAUUGAAUGAUAUGUAAUAAUUUACAAUUCCAAAAAAUAAACUCCUAAAAAGUGCAUUUCUUCAUACCUGUUAGUGCGUUUGUGUGUAUGUGUUAUAUGUUAAAGUAGAACUUUGUCCAAAAUCUCACCUUUGAGCAUCACUUCCCUUCUGCACACACAAGGAACCUUUUGCAGCUAAAAGGCAAGAACAUUACUAGAUGUAGUUUGGUGCCAUUUCUAAAAAUAGCAACAAA